AGCUCUGUGCAGUGGCAGAAUCAAAGCCAAUGAGGUUUAUCCGAGGCAUAAUUACUGCUAAUUAAAAAUGUUUCUAAUAUGAC
rnacentral:snRNA from 1 species